AAAAAGACAAACCCUGAUUUCCAUGCCCAACGUUUGACCGUCCGUCUUAUUUGAAAAAAUUAUAAAAAAAAUUAAAAAACAAGUCACGUAUAAAAUAUUAAUUAUGUUUUAUCAUCUAACAACAAUAAAAAUACGAAUUAUAAAAAAAAAUUAUAAGACGAACAGUUAAAAUUGGACACGGAAACCCAGUGUUUAUCUUUUU
rnacentral:pre_miRNA from 1 species